UCAACGUUAAUAAAUACUAGGGUAUUUUCAGAUAUAAACAGAGAACUGAACUACCAGCGUUUGAAGUAAAACCAUUUCACAGGAAUUCACUCGUUUUGUACAUAUUUACCAUAAUCGUAAUAAAUAAGUUCUUCGAGUGGUCAUAGUGGAAAGUCUAUCAGCACCAACGUAACAACAGACAAAACAAUGGAUGGAAGCAAGGUUCUCCUCCUGAUAAUAGUUAUUGUAAUUUGUAACAAUAUAAUUGGUCAAUCAGCCCAGACUCCGCCUGCCAAUAACAUGACACCGCAACAACAUGCCAGGAUGAUGAAUAUUAUAAGAUCAAGAAAUACUCAAGGACGUCAAACAGCUAUGAAUCCAUUGAUGAUGUAUAUGAUGAUGCAGUCUGGUCAACCCUUGUGGAUGAUAAUGUUACUUAUGAAUCCAAACGCUGAUUUCAAUAGUAUUUUGCCUUUGAUCAUGAUGAGUCAAUCUAGUUAGAACUUACAAUGGAGAGGAACACCUGUUUGAUUUGACAAUGACUAUAUGAUGAAAGUUUAUUGUCUGUGAUAUAUAACACAUGUAAAAUGUAAAGCACAACUGAAAUUAAAAAGAAAAUAAUCGUACCUAAAAAUAACCCUCCCUUCGUUUUUUUUCUGAAGGAGCGACGUUUAGAAAUAUUCAAACCUUUAAAAGGGAAAUCUGUAAAAGUUAUCAGGGAAGUUUGAAUAACAAAGGUUUGCUGCAGAAAUUUGACAGAAAUUUUAUUUCCAAUAUUUAAUUUGUCAAGGUUCACCAAUUGUAGUGGACUUAACAUUGCCAGAAGUAUUCAAGGGAAAAACAUAUAUUUAUAGAAUUGUCCUAUAGGAAAUUGAAUUAAUAAUUAGGAAGCCUAUUGAGAUUUUAUAAAACAAAACAUUCGAGAAAUGGUUUACAAAAAGAUUUAAAUGAUAACAGUUCAUAUUUUUUUCUUUUUAUAAAGAAAGAGCAGUGCCAUUGUCAUUACUUAAACUGUAAAACAUAAGACAGAUUAAUUAUAAAACCAAUUGUUAAUAAACUCAUCA